AUCUAUUUCUCCCCAGCCACUGUGCUAAACCAUGUCAAACUUUGUCACAUGGGUCUCAAGAUAUUGAUAAUGUAGGCAUAAUAUUACUGUGACUUUUCAUCAUGCGGAUUGUUAAUGGCGGGGCAUCAAAGUUCAUCAGCUCACCAUGACAAACGAAAUUCAUUUUAACGGAGUUACCAUGAACGCAUCAUUAGACCGCAUUGUUUUGGUCAACUCACACCUGGAGUUAUUUCUAUUCAGCCACUUUGCGAAACCAUUUCAAACUGUGUGAAAUGGGUCUCAAGAUAUUGAUAGUGUAGGCAUAAGAUUGCUGUGACUUUUCAUCAUGAUGAUUAACUGCUUGGCAGCUGAGGUCAUCAUCUCGACAUGAAAAACGAAACGCAAUUUAACACAGCUGCAAGUGAACGCAUCAUGACAAUCUCCUUCAGUAAGAGCUGAGUCUGUGGUGACGGUCCACUCACACAUCGAAUCAGUAGCACAGUUUGCUGUUCUGCUUGUUCAUCUGACGGACACGUAAAAGGCGACUGCUCUCUCGUUUCUGUGGAUGUCCAGCGUGAGACACAACUUGAAUCCAACCAGACUGAACACUGACUCCAGGGACAGACGAGCCUGAAGGACACAGCUGUGAUGACCAUGUUCUGUCUCUUAUGACAAAGCAGAAAUAUAAAACACUGGGUUCUUAUCUAAAGUGUAUCAAAUCAGAUCUCCACCAUGUUGCUGCUGAGGACAUCAGGUGCUGCAGUUCUUCAUCUAUGAAGAUGAAAAAACUCACUGUUAAAGAAUGUUUUGUGUUGUGUAUGAAGCACAACAGAUUUCAGAUAGAACCGUUGUACUGUGGUCUUGGUUUGUAUCCUCAUGGUUAAAUGUACAUAUUUUACGUCCCUUCUGAUAAAAGUACUGAAAGAAAUACAACAUUGUAUAAAUAGAUAAAAUGUCUUUCUACCUCAUCAGUAAUAUUCAAGGUGAUAAUCUCCCACAGAGCUAUUGAUAGAAGUCCACAUCAAGUCUCUCGACUUCUCUCAGUGUGAAAACAUAAUUAUAUCAUUAAUUUGAGAA